rnacentral:pre_miRNA from 1 species
UUUACAGAGAUCUUUGGCAUUCUGUCCACCUCCGAUCCUUCUUUCUUCUUUUUAUUUUUUUUAAAAUAAAAUAAAUGAAUAACUUGGGAGGUGGGCAUCCUGCCAAUAGAGCUCUGUUUG